CUGGUAUGCCUUAAGUGACUGAUCAGCUGCCUCUUUCUUCUCAUUACCAGUCUUGAACUCUGCUCGAUACCGAUAAUAAUCACCUUUCAUCUUGUAGUAAAACACAUUAGAUUCCCCAGCAAUAGAAGACGGUAUGAGAUGCUCAUCGAUGAGAGUUAUAAUAUCACUGCAAAUGGUGGACAACUCCGACUCCACCUUGUGCCUGUACUCCUUAAUCCUCUUCACAUUUCCCUCAUUCCCUUUCGAUUCCUCCUUCAGCUCGAUGGACGACAAGAUCCUCCAAGACGCCCGCCGUGCGCCAACCACAUUCUUGUAACCAACAGACAGUAAGUUCCUCUCCUCGACAGUCAAUUCAACAUCAAGCUUCGCGACUUUCUUCAUCGCCUCCACCAUUUCAUCGUAGCGCUCGGCUUGCUCGGCUAGCUUGGCAACGUAGACGAAAUACUGGCGAUCUUUAGAAGAAGAAUCCAUGGUGAUCUGUUCUGGGUCUGC
rnacentral:misc_RNA from 1 species